GCAUUAAAUCAUAUAUCCUUCAAUGGCCUCUACAAAAUUUUCCCUUCAAUCUGUUUUGCUACUUUGCUUGAUUUUGUUUUCCCUACUGGCAUUUCAUCAUUGUGAUGCAAGUAGAAACAUUAAAACAGAAGGUAAAAGUGAUGCUUGCCUCCAAAUUCCGGAUAAGCCAGGCCAAUGGUGUUGUGUAAUAUUAUUUCAACCUGAAAAAUGUUUUCCUUCUAUUGAUGCGUGUGAAGCAAUAUGUCAGAAGUGACAGAUUUUAAGAACAAUGAUGUCAAUUAAUUCUAGCACGUAUUAUGAUUUAUUUCAAUAAGUACUUAUGAGUUUGAGUUUUAUAGUGCUAUUUAACUUGAUGUAAAAGUGAAAUAAAAAAAAUUGGCAUUUUCAUUUAUAAAAUUCAAUUAGAAUUAUCA